GAUGAACGCUGGCGGCGUGCCUAAUACAUGCAAGUAGAACGCUGAAGGAGGAGCUUGCUCUUCUGGAUGAGUUGCGAACGGGUGAGUAACGCGUAGGUAACCUGCCUGGUAGCGGGGGAUAACUAUUGGAAACGAUAGCUAAUACCGCAUGACAACAGUUAUUGCAUGAUAACUGUUUAAAAGGGGCAACUGCUCCACUACCAGAUGGACCUGCGUUGUAUUAGCUAGUUGGUGAGGUAACGGCUCACCAAGGCGACGAUACAUAGCCGACCUGAGAGGGUGAUCGGCCACACUGGGACUGAGACACGGCCCAGACUCCUACGGGAGGAAGCAGUAGGGAAUCUUCGGCAAUGGACGGAAGUCUGACCGAGCAACGCCGCGGGAGUGAAGAAGGUUGUCGGAUCGUAAAGCUCUGUUGUAAGAGAAGAACGAGUGUGAGAGUGGAAAGUUCACACUGUGACGGUAGCUUACCAGAAAGGGACGGCUAACUACGUG
rnacentral:rRNA from 1 species